rfam:Dipodomys ordii contig_69393, whole genome shotgun sequence.
GGGAAGCUGGCUCAGUGGUAGAGUGUUUGCCUUGCAUGCAUGAGGCUCUGGGUUGAUUCCUGAGCACCACA